GCGGAUGUGGUGGAACAGGCAGACACGCUAUCUUGAGGGGGUAGUGAGCACCGCUCGUGCGGGUUCAAAUCCCGCCAUCCGCACCA
rnacentral:tRNA from 1 species